ensembl:ncRNA F37A4.10 ncRNA
UGAGGAGAGGAAGGCGAUAAAAAUGCGAAACGGGGAGGUGGUGGCGUGAUGAAAAAUUUAUGUCCAGGAACGGGCAAAAUGACGGAUUUUU